rnacentral:rRNA from 1 species
AGUGAACGCUGGCGGUAGGCCUAACACAUGCAAGUCGAACGGCGGCACAGUAAGAGCUUGCUCUUACGGGUGGCGAGUGGCGGACGGGUGAGGAAUACAUCGGAAUCUACUUUUUCGUGGGGGAUAACGUAGGGAAACUUACGCUAAUACCGCAUACGACCUACGGGUGAAAGCAGGGGAUCUUCGGACCUUGCGCGAUUGAAUGAGCCGAUGUCGGAUUAGCUAGUUGGCGGGGUAAAGGCCCACCAAGGCGACGAUCCGUAGCUGGUCUGAGAGGAUGAUCAGCCACACUGGAACUGAGACACGGUCCAGACUCCUACGGGAGGCAGCAGUGGGGAAUAUUGGACAAUGGGCGCAAGCCUGAUCCAGCCAUACCGCGUGGGUGAAGAAGGCCUUCGGGUUGUAAAGCCCUUUUGUUGGGAAAGAAAAGCAGCAGGUUAAUACCCCGCUGUUCUGACGGUACCCAAAGAAUAAGCACCGACUAACUUCGUG